rnacentral:lncRNA from 1 species
ACAGGAGUAAGGAAAUCAAAACUGACGAUAGAGGGUGCAUAAAUAUCUCUUUUACUAAUUAUAAACAAGGAAAGAACAGUUGCACUUUUUAAAUAUUUUAUUCGGUUUGGGUUCUGUGAGCCACCUCUAGAAUACAAAUGAGUGGGGUUGUGAAAGUUAAACUCUUGUUUUUUGCAAAAGCAAGAGAACUGGUAAGUGUCACAGAAAGUGAAUUAGAGUUACCAGAUGGACACUACAGUCAGAAGAAUAUAUUGUCCAUUAUUUUGGAAAAGUACCCAGUGCUCAGUCCCAUUCAGGAAAAUGUUAUUCUUGCCAUAAAUGAAGAGUACAUGGACUGUGCUCAGAGCAUACAACUCAAGGAAGGAGAUCAACUUGCAGUGAUCCCACCACUAAGUGGAGGCUAACUUGUCAAAAGACCUGAAUAAAUCAGAAAGUUGUACUUUUUAACUAUUUUUGAAAUGAAUAAGAUAACAUAGGAUAUUUGAAACAUAAAUUCUCUAUCAAUUUCUAAAUCAGUGUGGAAGAAGUGACAGCUCAUGCUUCGUCAUCUGAUUGUGGGUCUGUUUUCAUCUCAACUACUAAUGACAAACAAUCAGGUUCAGGCUAAGAGAGUGAUCCAUUUAAUGUACCAAGCUUAUGAGCCAUAGGCUGUAAAAGAAAUUACAUAAAUUUGUUAUGAAGUGAGUCAAAAGUGGCCUGUAAAAAAGUUUCAUGAUGUUGCAUUUCGUUGGUGCUUUCCCAAUUAUAGAUGAGUGUUGUCAUAGCUUUUUCUUCUGAACAUUGCUAAGAAGAUCUGGAGGCAGAGAAUUAACCCAUUGAUAGUUAAUAAAGAUUGUAAAUUUGGAAAAGUGAAUAUUAUGCAAAUGAAGAGAAAGUGUGGAAGUAAAAUGAUAAGUGUCUGUGGAAAAAUUCUCUGUAAUCAUAGUGGAUUGGAUUUUAUUGCUCAUUUAGUAGUUUAUUUUUCCUUAUUUUAAGUAAAAAAAUUUCCAAGGUUUAUUGAUUUAUUUGAACUAAAUUUCUGUGUGUGUGACAUUGUUAUCUUUAAAUUUUAGUUAAAAUAUAAUAUGAUCCUUGUAACAUUAAUUUCCAACACUUUACACAUUUGAUUUGUUAAGUAGAUGAUUGAUUUUGAUUCAAGGAGUAGAUAUCUCUAUAAUUUAAGUGUAUAUCAGAGAUACCCUAUGAUAUAUAAUUAUGACCUGUUGCAUUAUCUGUAAAAUUACCAGUUUAUAAAUGAGAACUAUACCAGUAUCCUUUUUUUUGAGUAAUAAUUUCUUAAAAUGUUAAUUGCUAAUGAUGCUAUCCAACUGUUUUACAUAAAUUGAAACAUGAUCUACAUACUUUUAUUAAGUGUAGUAGAACUUAGCUCAUUAUGUUUGGCAAAGUAUCUUUUAUUUAAUGCCAUUGCUAAGUAAUGAGCUUCCUUGAGAGAAAUAGCUUAUGCAGGUGUUAAUGUGUAUCUCAUAACUAUUAGGUGGUGAAAUACCCAGAAAUAACGUCAUUUACGGAAGGUUUGGAAAAUUGGUAUUUGUUUUAUUUUGUGGAAACUGUUAAUGUGUGACUUAGAGUUUAGAAGUUCAACAAUGUUAUAGUGAAAUAGUUAGUCUUUAUUAAUUUAGCUUAGGUAACCUGAAAAUUAUUAUUUUAUUGACCUGAAUUGUGGUAGUUUGUAUUAAAAAUGCAUAAUUGAUAUAUAUAUAUUGUAUGGCACGUGUUGAUGAACAAUAAUUCUAUAAAGAACUCUUAAACAUUACUAAGAAGUAGAUUGAGUGUUGUGCAUAUAAGUCAACUGCAAUUACUAUUUCCUUAGUGUAUUUUAAUUGAAAGUCUAUUGGAGCAACUGUGUAUUAUAAACAAGGACUUCAGUCUAUAACCUAAACGCAUUAUGGAAAGUAACUAUACUAUAUGAAGGGAAAAAAAAAAAUGCAUAUUUACUAAACAAAGAUAUAUGAAAGUAGCUUAAUUCUGUAUUUGAUAGAAUGCAUGAAAAACCUACCCUGUUUAGGAAAUGAUAUGUUACUGUGCAGUGUAAUAAUGUUUAAUGAAACAAAUCCUACCUAUCUAUGUUAAUAUUUUUCUGGAAUUGUUACCACAGAGGAUUAAUUGUUUUUGGUUUAAUGUGCAAUAACAAUUAAACAUAAUAAGGAUAGAGAUUUGUGGAAUCAGCAUUUUACUGGAUCAAAACAAUGAAUUGUUGGCCACUUUGCACUAAAAUAUUGUGAUCAUUUCUACGCCUUGUCCAACAAACAAAGGGUUUGUUUGUUCUGCGAAUUAAGAACACAAUGUGAUGCGGAUCAAUACCUUUUCUGAACUCGUAUCCACUAUUUCCAUGACAAUAAGGUACUAAAUCUUGUCAGAUUAAAUUGAAGGGCAUCAAGUGACGGAUGUUAUUGCGAGUUAAAUUAGUAAUAGACAAAUGUUCAUGAAACAGCAUAUUCUGCCUGCACAGCGAGCAUAAAGGAUUUAAUUACAAGUACUCUAGUCCCAAAUUAACUGAAAAUAUCAGGUUCUGAGCUCUCAGAGUUUCGAGAAUAAUUAGUUUAUAUGAAAGGAAGCAGGAUUGGAACGUUAAACCAUUUCUAACCGGUUUUCUUUGUGUUUCAAAAAAUUUGUGCUUUAAAAUUUGUAGGACUGCUUAUAAUCGUAUGUUCAUCUUGCUACAGGAUUUGCACUACAUUGUGUAAAUGAUGCAUUUUCAUAUACAACAGUUUAGAAUUGAAAGAAUUACUUAAUCAUAAAUUAUUAUAUCAUGCUAGGUGAAGGGUGGUUUAAAAUGUCUUUUAAAAAUAUCCAGAACAAGCUGAAAAUAGGAAUAUUAAUAUCAUGAAAAUAAUCAAUUAGUUAAAUGUAAUUGAUUAAUAAGGUCAAGGAUUAAUCAAUUGACAAAUUCCACUAAUCACCCAGGUCUGUUUAUUACAUUGUUACUAGUUUUAAAUCUAUAAAUUGUGAAUUUUUGAACAUAUGCAUACAACAAGCAUCAAAAUACAUAUUAAUUCUAACAACUCCUUUAGUUAUUUUUAAAUACAAAUGUAGAGAAUAAAGCUAAUACAAUCUUCAUAAUAUGCUGUUUAGAAUAUAUUUGUAUUCAGUUUCUUUAUUCUAUACUUGCAUAUAUAUAUAUUUUAAAUGCCCAUGAAGGUAAUAAAAUGUUUUGGUACAAAAUUUGUGUUUUGUGCAUUAAUAUAAUGUUUAAUCUCUUAUAUAGCUUUUCAAAGACAUAUGAGUACUUCAAUAAUAAUAAUAAUAAUUGUAAGCACAUUGAUUAACCUCUAUUUUGCAUUAUAACACCUUUAAAUUAGGAUAUGAAAAUGGUAUAAUAAAGAUAUAGUCUUUUUAAUUAGGAGUUUUAUAGUAAUAUGAAGUUGUUUGUGGGUGCUCCAAGAUGAUAAUUGAGUUGACUCAAUAAAAUAUUUUAAUAAUUUUUGAGUUUAAUGAAAUGUAGUUAGUGUUAGAUUAACACUGAAGUAUUUGGAUAAAUGCUUAACUCAACUAAGUAUUUAGAUUAUGCUGGUUUAAUUGAAAUAUUGGAUAAACCUAGAUUAACUCAGUGGAACAGUUAUCUAAUUUGGUUUCACUGAGUGAAAUGUUAAUACAAUAUUGGAUUAAUUGUAUACAAUUGUAUGUGCUUUUUUUGGAUGUCAUUUUCAGUUGACAGUAAACAAUUUAGCUUUAGAUUUUAGUUACAUUGUUCUUAGUAUGGUGAUAAAAAAAAUUAAGAAUGGUUUAAUGACAAAUCCUCUGUUGUUAAAUUCAAAAGGAAACUUUAAACUCAUAUCUUUAUAAAUUAGCAGUUACAAUAUCUUAAUUUUAAUUGUGUAUCUAGCUGUAUAUCACAUAUUGAAGUAGCAGUUGGUCUGCAUUUUUACCCAUAUGAAAGCCUGUAUGCAAAUCUGUCUCUCUGAGUCAUGAGAAAUAAAGUAUUUUACUUGCAA